rnacentral:tRNA from 1 species
GCCUGAGUGGCUCAGUUGGUUGAGCAUCUGCCUUCGGCUCAGGUCAUGAUCCCGGAGAUGUGGGAUCGAGUCCCAUGUCGGGCU